rnacentral:lncRNA from 1 species
UCUCCGCCAUGGCUGCAGACCUCUCUGCUCAAACCUUCCUCCUAUCCACAACCACGACCACCCCCUAACCAAUGGCGUAGCCACCCACAAGGCUAAGGUGGACUGAAGUCCAGGGAGGUUUUCUGUAAUGAUAGUGUUAUCCAUGCACUCGUUUUUACUUCUUAUACACUUCUCUUAAUUCUCGGUUGUUCAGAUCGAAUGAAUUGAAAAUGAUCACUAACAAAAUAUUAAUAAGGCUGUGUUAGAAAUAAAAAUGGGUUUGUGAAUAGAUCUAUUCUUUUGUAAACUCAUGCUUAUAACCUACUCAAUUUCAAUACAUAUUAUUAUUUAAUGUGUAUUUAGUAGAGGAGAGGUAGUAAAUCAUAGUAAAAAUUAUAAAUUAGUUCUUUCUCCGGUCCCCCUUUAUUCCAUUCUUGAAAGAAAAAGGCCAUUUACCAUAUGUAAUUUAGCCUUUGUGCUUCUUGCUCAAGAAAAUAUUAAUAAGUUCUUUAAAUACACAAUUAAAUCCCUAUCUUUGUAAUUCCUGACUUUCCGUUGCAAUUUUUCAAUGAAUGUCACAUUUGGUACGUUCUUAAUCUCCUUAUUUACUUAUUCUUGAUUUAAUUAGUAGGUUAAUUAUAGGAAUCUUGGUGGUGGAAUGAGGAGGUACAAACAAAGGUGAAGGCUAAGAAGGAAUGUUGUAAAGCCCUAUACAAGGAUAGGACUGAUGAAAAUGGUGAAAGGUAUAGAAAAGUGAAGCAAGAGGCGAAGAAAGCUGUGAGAGAAGCUAAGUUAGCGGCUUACGACAAUAUGUAUAAACGACUAGAUACCAAAGAAGGAAAGUUGGAUAUCUAUAAACUAGCUAGAGCAAGGGAAAAGAAGACAAGAGACCUAAACCAAGUGAGGUGCAUCAAGGAUGAGGAUGGAAAGGUUCUUGCUACAGAGAACGCGGUUAAAGACAGAUGGAGAGGUUAUUUUUAUAAUCUUUUCAAUGAAGGACAUGAAAGGAGUGCUUCUUUAGGGGAGUUGAGUAACUCAGAAGAGUGCAUAAACUACUCUUUUUAUCGUCGAAUCCGGAAGGAAGAAGUGGUUGUAGCUUUGAAGAAGAUGAAGCAUAGAAAAGCAAUAGGCCCAGACGAUAUACCAAUCGAAGUGUGGAAAGUUUUGGGAGAGACAGGUAUAACAUGGCUCACUAACCUUUUCAAUAGGAUUUUGAAAACGAAGAAGAUGCCAAAUGAGUGGCGAACGAGCACUUUGGUGCCUAUCUACAAGAAUAAGGGCGACGUACAAAAUUGCAUGAACUAUAGGGGUAUUAAGCUAAUGAGUCAUACAAUGAAGCUCUGGGAGAGAGUCAUUGAGCAUAGAUUGAGGCAAGAGACACGGGUUUCGGACAACCAAUUCGGGUUCAUGCCAGGGCGCUCAACCAUGGAGGCAAUUUAUCUCUUACGAAGAUUGAUGGAAAGAUAUAGAGAUGGGAAAAAGGAUUUACACAUGGUCUUUAUAGAUUUGGAAAAAACGUAUGAUAGGGCCCCAAGAGACAUUCUUUGGAGGAUUUUAGAGAAUAAAGGAGUACGAGUAGCAUAUAUCCAAGCGAUAAAGGAUAUGUAUGAAGGAGCAAAGACUGCCGUAAGAACUCAUGAAGGACAAACUGAAAGCUUUCCCAUAACUGUAGGAUUACAUCAAGGCUCAUCCUUAAGUCCUUACCUUUUUGCGUUGGUAAUGGAUGAGUUAACAUGACAUAUUCAAGAUGAUAUUCCUUGGUGUAUGCUUUUCGCAGAUGAUAUAGUGUUGAUAGAUGAAACUCAGGAAGGGGUAAAUACGAAGCUUAACCUUUGGAGAGAAGUGUUGGAAUCUAAAGGUCUUCGCCUAAGCCGAUCAAAGACAGAAUAUAUAGAGUGCAAGUUCAGUGCAAAUGGAGGCCAAAACGAGUUAGGGGUGAGGAUUGGAGAUCAAGAAAUACCAAAGAGCGACCGUUUUCGUUACCUAGGAUCUAUCUUGCAAAAGAACGGAGAAUUAGAUGGAGAUCUCAACCAUAGAAUACAAGCUGGAUGGAUGAAGUGGAAGAGUGCAUCCGGCGUGUUGUGUGACCGCCGGAUGCCACUAAAGCUCAAGGGAAAAUUUUAUAGGACGGCAAUAAGGCCGGCGAUGCUGUAUGGCACAGAAUGUUGGGCGGUGAAGCAUCAACACGUACACAAAAUGGGUGUAGCGGAGAUGAGGAUGCUUCGUUGGAUGUGUGGGCGAGAAAGGAUAAGAUUAGGAAUGAGGAUAUCCGGGGUAAAGUAGGAGUAGCCGAAAUUGAAGGAAAGAUGAGAGAAAAUCGGUUACGGUGGUUUGGACAUGUGCAAAGAAGGCCUACUGACGCUCCGAUUAGAAGAUGCGACUAUGGGACAGAGGUUCAGGGCCGAAGGGGUAGAGGAAGACCUAGGAAAACUUUAGAAGAGACUCUAAGAAAAGACUUAGAGUACUUGGAUCUAACGAAGGACAUGAUACAGGACCGAGCACAAUGGCGUUCUAAGAUUCAUAUAGCCGAUCCCACUCAGUGAACCGAGAAGUUUUCCUUACUCAGGAAAUUAAGGGAACACUACCUCAACCUACAUGCUCAACUCACAAAGCUUCAACAAAAGAAAAUUCAAAGAACUUAGCGAAGAAGGCUUUGGUGUAUUUAACACAAUACGUUGAAAUGAAGGAAAGCUUAUUUAUUGAUAUCCCCGAUAAUCUACAAAUAUGUACAUAUACAUGAGUCAAAAUAAACAAACAAGAGGGAGCCUUCACAAAGGUGGCUUAGGAGAAGUCUCAGCAGUCGGUAGAGCCCCAGAAAGAGAAGGCACCAUAGGGGGAUCAUUCGGAGCCUCAGUACUGGACAGAACCCUAGAAGGAGGAGGCAUCAGAGGUUGAUCAUUUAGAGCUUCAUUACGCGGUACAGCCCCAGAAGACGAAGGCAAUAAAUGUCUUUGGAACAAACCCAUAAAUCUCUGAUGAUCAAGUAAAACCUGACCAUCAGAUUCCUUCAUCUGGUCAAGCUUCCUCUUCAUGUUUGUAGCAUAGUCAUGUGCGAGCCGGUGCAACUGUUUAUUCUCAUGCUUGAGCCCUCUAAUCUCCUGUUUGAGACUCAUCACUUCAGCCGCCAAUGAUUCAACUUGGCGGGUUCGAGCAAAUAGGCGUUGGGCCAUAUUAGACACAGAACCUGCACACUGAACACUGAGAGCCAGAUAAUCCUUAACAGCUAACUCAUCAGACCGUUUGGAAAGUAGUCUGUUAUCUUUAGGAGUGAGAAGGUUCCUGGCCACCACCGCAGCGGUCAUAUCAUUAUUCAUCACGGAAUCCCCAACGGUAAGAGGACCAGUAGGGGAGACGAAGGAUGGGCGCCAUAUGUUGUCUGGAGAAGGCGGGGCUGCCUCUUCAACAAGGUUCAAGUCAAAACGACGGUCGGAUGGGCCAGACAUUUUCAAAGGUGUUGAAGAGAAGAGGUCGGACAAAUCAAGAUCUUAGAAAUGCAAGAAUGGAGCUUCUACUGGUGGAGAUUCAAGUGUGCUUUGGAACUUAAUGCCAGCCCCUAUAAAAAUUUGCACUCGACGGAGCUUCAGAAAUCGAAGAGGCGUCUGCUCAGAAAUCAAAGAGGCGUUUGCUUUCUCAAAAGCUGGGCUACUCAGAGACCACGAAGGUCGAUCUCAGAAAUCGAAGAGGCGUCUGCUUUCUCAAAAGCUGGGCUGCUCAAAGACCACGAAGGCCGAUCUCAGAAAUCGAAAAGGCGCUUGCUUUCUCAAAAGCUGGGCUGCUAAGAGACCACGAGGGCCGAUCUCAGAAAUCGAAGAGACACCUACUUUUUCAGCCUUGUCAGCACCUGUCACACGCACACUCAGCUUUGCGGAAAUUAUGGGCAUUCUGUCGAAGACUUCUGGUGAAGUAGAAAGCACUUGAGUCUUACUGUUCAAUCACCCAUUUCCCACACGCAACAGUAGCUCAUGGGUACCACAGAUAACUUUGCCAAAGUUCUCUGCCAAAGUUGAGCACGUGAAGCUUGCAGCUCUCACUACAUCGCUCUGACCAAGAAGGGUAAAAUAAUAGCAAAGAAACAGCACUAACAAAAUUUAGACACAUAAAUUUUGAAGGUCUAGCUACCAUAUUAUUACCCACAAGGGUAAAGGAACAGUACCACUACUGGAUAAUUGGAAAGUCCAUGUGUGUCAACCUCUGUGCUUCGUGGCAAUGUAGACUAGCAAACAUGCCCAACCUUUACUCACAUUCGAGAAAACACUCCCAACAAGAUUGCUUGCUCCAAAAUCGAAGAGGCACCGUCCUCCGAAUCUCGAGAGCCAGACUCCCAACAUGACUACUUUCUCAAAAAUCGAAGAGAGGGUAAAGGAACAGUACCAUUGCUGGAUAAUUGGAAAGCCCCGGUGUGUCAACCUCUGUGCUUCGUGGCAAAGUAGUAGACUAGCAAACAUGCCCAACCUUUACUCACAUUUGAGAAAACACUCCCAACAAGAUUGCUUGAUAAUACCUCUGCAAACAAGCUAUACUAGAGCAAGAAUAUCUCAUAUCAUCAGGGUUAAAAGCAAGAGUAUCCCAUAUCAUGCUUUUUCCCUGUCUUUUCCUUUGGCCUUGUUCUUACCUGCAAGACAAGGAAAAAGAGAGCAAUCAGUCAGCACUUGGAAUCAAGCUUCCAGCCAGGAACUGACUGCCUAGAACCCCUUACCUGAUUACUUACCUGGCAUUGCUCUCGAGUACUCAUCUUCAACUUCUUAUGCUUCCAGGGAAGAUACCACAUCUGCCUGAGGAACAGAUAGGGCAAGUGAGAAUGAUACAAGGAAGCAUGUGGAGACAAGCGUAACAGCACACGUGCCGAUACAUCCAUUACUUUGUCAAAGCAAAAGUAUCCCAUAUCAGCAGGGUCGAACGUACUCUAGAUUUGAUGGACUUGUUUUGACCCUCAAAUUCUUCAGUCGGCCUUAUACUCUGGAGGAAACUAGAAAACCCUCAAGCUCAGUUCAAGAAUAAGCCUGUGGAAAGUUACUUCUUCAAAAGCAAAAGUAUCCCAUAUCAUCUCUUCUCAUUUUUCUUCUCUUUAUCCUUCAUGCUGCUUGCAAGAUAGGGAGAAUGUGAACAAUCAGCCGGAGCUCUGAUUGCUUACCUUGUCUGUCACCUCUUUCAGCAGAUCCCCUAGCUCGGCGACUUGGGGGACUCCUACUACAUUGUUUGUAUCGCGCUUGACCAAGCCUGAAACUACAAGUAAGCUUCAAGUGAAAUUGAUACAUUACCUUGUGCAUCUCCACCAGUUAAAGAUACCACCCCUGGAUGGAGGAAGAGUACUUCCAGAGAAGAUGCCACAUCUACCUAUGAGACAGAUAAGGCAAGUCAAGACGAUACCACACUCCGAUACUUAGAAGUUUCGUGAUUACGAGAUCAUUCCCCCACAAUAUUUCCUAAUGUCAUUUGUACUAAAUCAUUCACCUGUACUCACUAAAGGAGAGCUUGAACCUAUGUACUUGUGUAAACCCUUCACAAUUAAUGAGAACUCCUCUAUUUCGUGGACGUAGCCAAUCUGGGUGAACCACGUACAUCUUGUGUUUGCUUUCCUAUCUCUAUCCAUUUAUAUACUUAUCCACACUAACGACCGGAGCAAUAUAGCGAAGAUCACAAAAAGCGACCGUUUUCGCUACCUAGGAUCUACCGUGCAAGAGAACGGAGAAUUAGAUGGAGAUCUCAACCAUAGAAUACAAGCUGGAUGGAUGAAGUGUAAGAGUGCAUUCGACGUGUUGUGUGACCGUCGUAGGUCACUGAAGCUCAAGAGAAAAUUUUAUAGGACGGCAAUAAGGCCAGCAAUGUUGUAUGGCACAGAAUGUUGGGCGGUGAAGCAUCAACACGUACACAAAAUGGGUGUGGCGGAGAUGAGGAUGCUUCGUGGGAUGUGUGGGCACACGAGAAAGGAUAAGAUUGGGAAUGAGGAUAUCCGAAGUAAAGUAGGAGUAGCCAAAAUUGAAGGAAAGAUGAGAGAAAAUCGGUUCCGGUGAUUUGGACAUGUGCAAAGAAGGCCUACUGAUACUCCGGUUCGAAGAUGUGACUACGGGACAGAGUUUCAGGGCCGAAGGGGUAGAGGAAGACCUAGGAAAACUUUGGAAGAGACUUUAAGAAAAGACUUAGAGUACUUGGAUCUAACGGAGGACAUGACACAAAACCAAGCCCAAUGGCGUUCUAGGAUUCAUAUAGCCGACCCCACUUAGUGGGAAAAGGCUUUGUUGUUGUUGUUGUUGUUGUUGUUGUUAUAUUUUAUAUAAGUAAAAAAAUAAACAUUUGAUUUUAUAGUACUAUUUUCAAUCCGCCCUUGCCCCCAACGCUUCCACCCCAGAACCACCACCUCCUUCUUGCCUUCCUCCUCUCUCUACUCUCACUCCAAACCCCUCCUCCACCUCUCCAAAAUCUCCUGCCCCCACCGGCACCCAACCCAUUUUCCAGCUCGGCCAUGACCGCCUCUCCAAGGUCCCCAUUCCCACAUCAGAAACUUCUGCAUCAUCGCCCACAUCGACCAUGGCAAGUCGACUUUGGCCGAUAAGCUACUCGAAACCACCGGUACUGUGCAGAAGCGCGAGUUAUAUUGUUACCCCAUUUCCUUCUUUGACAUGAAUCAACCAACCCCUUUCAUUUGUAGUUUGUGCGAGAUGUUAGACUACGCUCUCGCUGAGGUCACGAAUCAAGUAGCCGCGAUCAGGGUUUAGAUGCAAAUUUAGACGGGGUAUUUGAGUGGUUUCUCAAAGGGAGGAAUAGAACCUGCCAUCGCUUACACUCCAUGACAGUAGAGGUGCUGGAGUCGAAAUCUGCCUGAUCUGCACUGGCCCUGUAGAGCUCUAGUUUAUUUGCCAGAUGCGAUCAUGUGACUUACUUCUUUUCUGUUCGGCCCCAUUUUUCUUGUAAGGUUUAAUUUCAAUAACACAAAACAAGGGGUUAUAGGGUUAGUCCAACUCAAAACUCCUCCAACACCAACAUUGUCUUUUUUUCUUAUACAGAUGCUGAAUUUCUUGAACUUUUUGCAUUGCGCAACUCGCUUGUCGACCAGUGCAUAAAACACCGCAUUUGCAAGCAUUUACAUUGCGGACUUCGCACUUAAGUAGUUUCUCUCUCUUUUUUUUUUUUUUUAUCAUCUAAAGGAGGGGAUUUGAACUUAAGAUCUCGCCUAAUUAAAGAGUUCGUUGGUCACACAAUCAGUUUAUAUAUCAAUAUUUGUAUUUUUCCUUUGUUGUAUAAUGAGUUGAGCUAUUCUAGGUUAUGCUAUAUAUAUGUACAACUUCAAAUAUUUAUUUGGAAAACUUCAAUUGUACGAGAUAAAUUUUAUUAAAUUUGAAACAAGAAGUUAUAUUUAGUCAGUGAUACAUAAAAUUUACACCUAAUAAUACAAGAAAAAAAGUAAGGUGAAAAAUACAAGAAAAGAGGGGAGACAUAAACUUACCCCUUUUAAGCAAACAAAUAAAAAUGCUAAAAAAGAGGGGGAUGUAAAGUCUAAGACCCUCUAUAAAAAUAUCUAGAAGGUCUAGACCAGCAAAACAAGUUGCAAAACAUCAAGUAAUAUGUUACCAAAAAAAAAAACAAACACACACACACAUCAUAAAAGAGGAAAAACAAGUUGCAAAGCACCAAAAGCAAUACGUACAACAAUAAUAUUUGGAUAGUUUGUUCCACUUAUAGAUGCCUAGAGACUAAAGUUAAAAAUCACACAUUUGCUUUAUAAUUAUAUGACAAAAUUGGAUCACUAAUUUCUAAACUUUAGUCGAACUUGAGCUUUAGUUCUUGAACUAAAAAUCCAUGAGUAUUGAAUAUGAAGAGAGGAUCAUCGCCAAAUCCCCUUUGUGGGGAUCCCGAAGAUCCUCAAAUUACAUUCGUUCAUUGUACAUCGUGCGGUCAGAAAUCAUUGUAAUUUUUUUUUAUCUAAAAUUGAAUAUAAACAGUACCUGAUUUAAACUGGCCGCAUGAUGUACGAUAAACAGAUGUGAUUGAAGAAUUUCAGAAUCAUCACAAAGAGAAUCCUGCGAGGAUCCUCUCUUUUGAAUAUGGACGGAUGCAAAACAUUGCAGCAGUAGUAUGUGCUGAUGGUAAAAAAGCAGUUGGAUAUAUACAUUUACUGUUCAAAAAGUGAUUAAGCACUAUACACUUAUUAGCCAAACCAUAUACAUAAUAUACAAUGAAGGUUAGAUGAUUUCUGAUCACAAUACAGUGUGAAAUUUUGACUGCAAACCGGCGAAGUAGGAAACAAGCAGCAUCAUUUUUUCUUCUUCUGAUAAGAUAGAAUUAAUGCAGCUGCAGGAACCUUUGACUGUUUUAUUUCUCUUUUUUUUGGGCCAUCUGAAGCCUUGACUUUGAAAAUGCGAAUUGCAAAGAAGUGUUUGCAAUACGAAAGAAGUUUAUAGCUUUUAGUCCUGAACCAAUCAGGAUACAAAUAUGGGGUCUUCCUGAAUGGAUUGACCUAUGACUGAUUUACUCAGGCCCUUUUCCACUGACUUCUUCCUUCAUUUGGAGAAGCCAUCAGGAAUGGAACCAGUGGAAAGUUGUAUGUAGAAAAGAAGUGCAAAAUAAGCAAACACGAAGACUUUGGAAGUGAAAGAUGCACCGAUUCACGCUCUUCCAGCCCAGCUGCUGUUUAUAGAGCUCAGUAAUAUUUCACGGAAUUUCUCUUUUGAAUUAUCAAACUCUUAGUUUGCAAUGCCGUGACAUGAGGAAAUUUUGCAUGUGCUGCAUAUGAGACAACAGUUGAAAGAAGUAGAUUUCUAGCUCACCCAAUUAAUACGUCCCCUCGAAUUAAACCGAACCCUAACUAACAACUACUAAAAGCUAAAAUGUACAUCUUUUGAGCCAAUUAUUGAGCUAGGGUUUUUUUUUAACUUUAAUUCUUUAAGAAGAUUGAAAUUUAAAAUAAACCUAAUGUUAGAUUACAUAUUGAUUAUAAUCCCUUGAUAUGUCCUUAAUCAAAAUAAUUAAUGUGCAUUUUAUUUAAUCUCCCAUUAAAUAUUUAAAUUUAUUAAUAUACAAAUUUUAAUUUAUUUUUUACCAAAAAAAGUUUUUUAAUUUAUUAAUUUUAUUCAACAUUUUUCAAACUUAAAAGACUCAAUUAAUGUACCUAAAUAUGUGGACCGAAAUGGAUUAUAUUGAACUAAUGUAUUUAAAUGUUAGUACCGAAAUAUAUGCACCGAAAUGUAUUAUAUUAAAUUAAUGUACCUAAAUAUGUAUACCGAAAUAUAUACACCGAAAUGUAUUAUAUUGAAUUAAUGUACCUAAAUAUUUGUAUCGAAAUAUUUUUACCUAAAUGUGUGUACCUAAAUGUAUGCACCGAAAUGUAUUAUAAUGAAUUUAAUGUACCUAAAUGAAGAAGACAAAGUACAUCAAAAUAUAUUGUAUAAUAAAAAUUAAUUUAUCUAAUUGUUUACAACAAAAUAUAUUACGAUAAAUGAAAUGAAAGUGAAAAUUAUAAGGAAAACUAAUGAAAAGGGCUUGAAAACUUUGAGUUUUAAUGAUAAGGACAAAAUAAAGGGUAAAGUGAAUAGUACCAGGAUUGACUUUUUAGUGUAAAAAUGUGGUUUUUCGUUAAAGCGAACAGUACCAGGUGUUUUUCGUUAAAGUUCCCAAAAUUAUAAUGAAAUAAAAUUAAUACAUUAAAAAUUAGGAAGAAAAAAAAGAAAUAAUUAAAAAAUCAAAAUAUAAUUAAUAAAUGAGGUUAUUAAUGUCUCAAGGAACUGAAAUUAGAUUUUGAAAAAAUUAGAUUUUGAUCUUACUCAUAGUUUUAAUCUAAAGAGUUCUUUAGAGAAAGACCCUUGAAACUUCUAUUUUUCAAACAAAAGCCCAACUAAUAUUAAACAUUCAAAUAAAACCCGAAUUUCGCAUAGACUUCCAUGUAGAUAAAUACAUAACCAAUUAUUACAACAUAUUUACAACUUAUGCCACAUAACCCUAAUUAUGUUAAUAAAUAUUAUUACUCAUCCUAAUUAUGGUUAGCAAUUAACCCCAUAUGGACAUUUUACCCUUUUUGUUUUAUAAAUAUUAUUAACAUAUAUAUAUAUAUAUAUUAAUUUACCCAUAUUCAUAAACAAUUAUAGGCACAUUUUUCGUAUGAAAAAAAAGAUCCUUUGUAUAAUCAGUUAUUUUGCAUCAAAUAAUAUUGUUUGAUAAAAAAAACAAGAAUCAAUUGAUAUUCUUUUAUUUUUUAGGUAAAUGAUUUUAAACAUAUUAUUUUGUAGGUAAAUUAUUUUACACAUAUUAUUGCAUACAUUAGCCAUUUUGAUUUGUUAUUAUAUAUGUGUGUCAGUUGACCCACUGGGAAGUUGCUCGUGAGUUUCCAGAAACAAAACUGUGAGGGCAUGAUCGGGGCCCAAAGUGGACAAUAUCGUGCUACGGUGGUGGAGCGGGCCCGGGAAGUGGUCCGCCCCGGGCCGGGAUGUGACAAAAAUAAUUAUCUAUUUUUAUAUGUAAAGUAUAAGUAAAUUAAUUUUUUUAUAAAGAAUUAAACAAUAGGUAAAUUAUAAGUACAUUAUUUACUUAUAAGAAUUGAACAAUAGGUUAAUUUACCUAUUGUAGGUACAUUAUGUUUCUAAAAAAAAGGAAAAUUGAAAUUCAUAAACAAAAAGUAGUAGAUAUAUUAUCUUUUCAAUCAAAUUACAUUCCUUUAUUUUGUAGGUAAAUUUUUUUUAAAGCAUUAUUACAUAUACCAAGCACAUUUUACUACUAAUAUAUAUCAGUUUUAGUAGGAAUUAUAUAUUGUAGGUACAUUAUGUUUGUACAAAGAAAAAACAAUAGGUAAAUUAAAAUUCAUAAACAAAAAGUAGUAGAUAUAUUAUUUUUUUAAUCAACUUACAUACCUUUAUUUUGUAGGUAAAUAAUUUUACAUGCAUUGUUACAUAUAUUGGGCACAUUUUAUUAAUAUAUAUGUGCAAUUAUAUUUUAUUAUAUCAAAUGUAGCUAAAUUAAUAUUGAAUCAAAUAACAUUUUUUUAUUUUGUAGGUAAAUUAUUUUUCAUGUAUUAUUACAUAUACUGCGAAUAUUUUAUUACUAACACAUAUGUCCAAAUAAUUUACCUAUGUUUUUAUGUAAAUUACUCCAUAGUUCCUUUUCGGUUUCCAUUUGGUAAGAAAAUGGCAAGAUUAAAUCAAAAUUGUCUAAUUUUAUGCAAAUGUGGAAAACAAUUACAAAAUGUAAAGGAAAGUAUAACAUUAAUAUUUAUUUAUUUAUUUUUGCCAGAAGCAUGAACAUUCAAGUAAAAAGACUAUGUUGGGUUUUAUGUAAAGAAACUUGAGUUUCAAGGGCUAAAAUCAUAUUUUCAGUAAUCUAAAAAUCAUCUUUGCUAAGAAUUAAAAUGAAGUUUCCCAUUGAGCUAGCCACAUACCUUACACAAAUGCUUAAAAACACCAAUGAAAACUUAAACAUGCAGUGUAUAUUUUCACCCACCAAGGCAAUGAACUUCCUCUCCCCAAAACUUCUUCCUUCAUCAUCUAAAUCUUCUCUCGAACUUAUAACGAUCGCCAUAGUCUUGUAUGCUGCUGCUGUAGAGCUAGCGAACAACGAAACGAUUCCGGCAGUGAUUGUUUUUGGAGAUUCAAUAGUGGAUCCGGGAAACAACAACAAUAUUGGCACGAUAGUCAAAUGCAAUUUCCCACCUUAUGGAAGGGACUUUGUAAGAAAAAGGCCUACCGGAAGGUUUAGCAAUGGCAGAGUCCCCUCAGACUGAAUAGGUAAUAUAACUAUUGUCGUUGUUGUUUCUUACUUUUUACUGGCUCUACUGGCUCAACCAACAACAACAACAACCAGCCGUAUCCCACUAAUGGGGUCGGUUGUAUGAAUCCUAAAAUGUCAUUGCGCACGGUUUUACGCUAAGUCUUCAGUUAGAUCCAAGUACUGGCUCAACAAAACUAUGAAAAUGAUUAACCCUUUACAAAUAUUUCAACUGAAUCAGUUGGAGUGAAGAAGAUUUUGCCAGCUUAUUUGGACUCAAAUCUGAAGAUUCAAGACCUACUUACUGGUGUAAGUUUUGCCUCAGGUGGCUCAGGAUAUGAUCCCCUCACUCCCAAAAUAGUGGUAAAUAAAUAUAACCCCAUUUUUUCUAUUUACUAUUUCAUCCUUUCUUUCUCUUAAUUUUGUUUCUAUCAGUCUGUCUUAUCUCUAUCGGAUCAACUGGAUUUGUUCAAAAAAUACAUAAGCAAGAUAAAUGCAGUCGUUGGGAAGGAGAGAACAGCGACUAUAGUAUCGAAAAUCAUUAUACAUUGUGUGCACAGGGAGUAACGACAUUCCGAAUACUUAUUUAUCUACACCACUAAGAAGAUCUCACUAUGACAUUCCAGCGUAUAUACCGAUCUCAUGGUUAAAUCGGCUUCAAGUUUCUUUCAGGUAAACAUUGAACAAUUGCAAUUCGUGAAUGUCAGCACUAGAAAAAUAAAUGGUUUGGUAGUCGUGCAUUACCACUUAUGUAGCCAUAAAGUACUAAAUUUCAGACCUAGCUAAACGUAGUCCAGUUUGUUAGAGCAAUGUGCUUCCCCCUUUUGCACCCAAGUUUGAAUCCCCGUCUCCGUAGUGUAGAUUAAACUAGAAUAUUGCUCAAACAAAAAUACAAAACUUUCAUCAGAACUAGCCACCUCAGAAGAGUAACAAUUGUCAAUAUGCCGCAUAUUUCGGUAUCCCAAGUUCCAUAGAUGAGCUCAUACAUGCGUAUCUUUUUCAUUCUUGAUUCUUGGGUGCCAAGUAAUUGGGAUUGUAUGAAUAAGCUGCUCUAAGUAGUAGCAUAGAUGGUUAAAGCGUGACACACUACGUCGUACUUUGCUAUUUUUUAAUGUGGGGAAAAAAUGGAACUGCAGGAACUAUAUGGACUCGGAGCAAGAAGAAUUGGAGUUGUAAGUCUGCCAGCCAUCGGGUGUGUACCGUCACAGAGAACACUGAGUGGAGGCUUAGACAGAGGGUGCUCGGAGACUGCCAACCAAGCAGCAAGUCUCUUCAACUCCAAGCUCUCCGCCCAAAUAGAUGCCUUCAAUAGGAGGCUGCCAGAAGCAAGGCUUGUCUACCUCGAUAUCUAUAACACAUUGCUUUCCCUCAUCCAAAACCCUACUCAAUAUGGUAAAUCACCAUCUUGGUUAAUUUCGGAAAUAGUAAUUUGCAAAAAUACGUCAAUUUCUCAUAUAUGAGUUACCAACAAUGUUCUCUUACCACGCAAAGAUUUAAGUUGUCAUACUAUGAAUCUAAGACCAAACAUUUUGAAUGUGAACCAAACAAGAACGAUAGUCUAAAAUUCACUUUUUACGUCAUCGUCAUAGUCUCGGGAAAAAAGAAAUUCCACAAUGCAUAUUGACCAUAUGGUUGGUACAAUGAUUUUCUAUAUGGUUUCAGGAUUUGAAGUGAUCAAUCGAGGAUGUUGUGGGACGGGAAACUUUGAGGUUAGCAUUCUGUGUACACGUUAUUCUCCGGGAACCUGCAAUGAUUCGUCGAAAUACAUAUUCUGGGACAGCUACCAUCCUUCAGAGAAAGGAUAUGAAGUCAUCACCUCUCUGGUUUUCGAUUCGCAAGUUCAUAAGUUCUUCUGAAGCCUCUCUCUCUCUCAAGUAUUGGCAAUCAAUAAAUUUCCAAGCCCGUUUUGAUGUAUUUCUCUUUCAGAAGUUUGAGCCUCAAAUUGUUAGAAAUUGAUGUCUGUCACCUUUUGACUCUUGUUACGCUUUUGUAUUUUUUGUUUUUUUAAAUGGACAACUAGUGGCUAAUAACGGUUAUCCAUUCUUUCUGGGUCCGGAGAGUUUAUGAGGAUUUCACCCCAUUGAAAAAUCAAUGUGACGUGAAAUUAACUAAUUAUACUUCAUCCUAAAUAAAGUAUAUACAUGAUGUCUUCAUAUCGGUUGUUUUAGAUAGAAAUGAUGAAAAUUUGCUCAAAAACGUGAAAAUUUAGAAUGAAACAUUGGGGAUGUCAAACACUGAUUUAAACGAAAUAUGAAAGUUUCUCCAACGUUUAACUGAUAUAUCAAAAAUAUAGAAGAAAUAUGUCAAUUUUAACCAAAAUUUAAGCGUUUUUCCAACACGGGUGAAGUCUAAACCAAAUGCCAUAAUACAAUUUUUUCAAGCUUUCAGCCAAUUGUAUUAUGACACUUAUUGUACCGGGCCAUAAACCAAGCUAGAGGUGGCAUAUCAAUCCAUUGUGUUAUUAAUGCAUAUCCAUCAAGACUCAUUUAGUUUAUUUCACCUUACACCUUUAUCAUCACCAGUGAAGAAAAUAUCGAUAAUAUCGGCGAAAUAUCGCCGAUAUUAUCGUUUUUUUGGGACCCCGAUAUUUUAUUAACUAUCCAACUUGUUUUCGGCAGAAUAUCGCGAUAUUAUCGAUAAUAUCGCGAUAUUUUCGAAACUAUCACGAUAUUUGGUAUGGACUCAUCGGAGAACACAGCCGGAGCAAAUAAUCCGAACCCCUAAAUCCCCAAAUUCUAAUUCAAAACAAAUGAACUGAAUCUACAAUACAGGAUUCCCUAAAAUCGAUUUCAGUACAAAAAUCAACAUGCAGAAAAAUCGCAAUCUGUACAAAAAUUGUAAUUUACAAGCCGAGAAGAACGAUUUCAGUACAAAAAUCAAAGCAAAUGAACCGAAUUCAUAAAUCCCCAAAUUCAAAUUCAAAGCAAAUGAACUGAAUCCCUAAUUCCUAAAUCCCUAAAAUCGAUUUCAGUACAAAAAUCAAGCAACAUGCAGAAAAAUCGCAAUCUGUACAAAAAUAGAAACCCUAAUUCCUAAAUCCCUAAAAUCAAUUUCAGUACAACAAAGGUGCAACAUGCAGAAAAAUUGAAAUCUGUACAAAAAUUUAAAGUAAAAGCCGAGAAGAAGAGAAGUAGGAGCCUGGGAACAUCGUCUUCCUCACGAAUCCAAGACGGCUGGGACAACGUCGUGCUCCUCAGUGGUGUCGACGGCUGGGACUACGAUGAUUUCCGGUCGAUCUCCAUGGAUCAAGGUGGUUUAGAAGGCGGUUAUCGAGUGGUGUCGACGGCUGGGUUUAGGGCGGGUGAGAUGGGAGAAGCAGAGGGAGACAGGGAGACACGGAGACACGGACGAGGAGGAUCGAGAUUCGAGAGAUGAUGUCUCUGUGUGUGUGUGGAAGAACUGGAGAAGGGGGAAGGGAGGGAGAAGACUGAGAAGUUCUCAGUGAGAACGAAGGCUCAGACCUCAAAGAGAGAGAAGAGAGAAGAGAGAGAUUGAGAGGAUUCGAGAAUAUGGUAGUGGGAAAUGAAUGAUCGAGAGAGAGACUGAGCUCCGUGUGUGGUGUACGUGUGUGGAGUGCGUGUGUGGUGUGGUGUGGGGGGUCUCGAAGUGUGUGUGUGGUGGAGUGUGAGUUCUUCAGUCUUUUUGACUGUCUGAGUGGUGGCGUGUAAGAAAAAAAAAAGCAUCCAAUGCUCCAAAUUAUUCAAAACCAAAUCAUUCCAAACCUAUGUCUAGCUCUCUGAUCCAAUGAUCCAAAGAACUUUUUGCAAUUUCAGAACAUGGACAACAAAUAAUACUGCUUUCAUAAUGAAAUCGUGUGACAGUCAGUAAGAGUCUUUCACAUGCAAAACAGUGUCAAUGUCUGUUAUAUACUUACAUUCUUUCAUCCAGUGGAGUAUCAGAGGCAUUCACAGAAUUUUCGUUUCUUCUUCUUCCCAUACCAUUUUCAAAACCAUUCCAGAUCCUUUCCAAAGCCAAGCAACACAAAGGCUUCCAUAUUUAAGGUAAGUUUACAAACUUAAAUUUAUAUUAUUGUAAUUUAUACAACAACAAAUAAAUUUGUGUGGACUCGUAUGUUAAUUUUUUUAAGUAAUUAAUACUUGCAUGUUAAUUUUUGUAAGUAAUUAAGUAAUGUUAACAAUUACAUGUUAAUUUUUUUAAGUAAUUAAGUAAUGUUGUAUAAUUAUUCCCUAGGAUAAUUUUAAUAUGUUUAAUGUUAUUUAUUAUUUUAUUUUCCUUACCAUUUUCAAAGUCAUUCCAGAUCCAUUCCAAAGCUUGAACACAAAGGCUUCCAUAUUUAAGGUAAGUUUACAAACUUAAAUUUAUAUUAUUGUAAUUUAUACAACAACAAAUAAAUUUGUGUGGACUCGUAUGUUAAUCUUUUUAAGUAAUUAAUACUUGCAUGUUAAUUUUUGUAAGUAAUUAAGUAAUGUUAAUGUUAAUUGUUUUAAGUAAUUAAGUAAUGUUGUAUAAUUAUUCCCUAGGAUAAUUUUAACAUGUUUAAUAUUAUUUAUUAUUUUAUUUCCCUUACCAUCUUCAUUAUCAAAUUGGAUUAUUAUUCAUUAAUAUUAGGUUUUUUUAUUAUCAAAUUGGAUUAUUAUUCUUUAAUAUUAGAUUUUUUUAUUAUCAAAUUGGAUUAUUAUUCAUUAAUAUUAGGUUUUUUUAUUAUCAAAUUGGAUUAUUAUUCUUUUAUAUUAGGAAAUUUUUUUAUCAAAUUGGUGGAUUAUUCAUUAAAUUGGAUUAUUAUUAUCAAAUUGGAUUAUUAUUCAUCACCAUGUUUUAUAUUAGGAUUAUUUUUUUUUCAAAUUGGUGGAUUAUUCAUUAAAUUGGAUUAUUAUCAAAUUGGAUUAUUAUUAUCAAAUUGGAUUAUUAUUCAUCACAAUGUUUUAUAUUAGGAUUAUUUUUUUUAUCAAAGUUGGUGGAUUAUUCAUUAAAUUGGAUUAUUAUCAAAUUGGAUCAUUAUUCAUUGGAUAUAUUCAUCACCAUUGUUUAUAUUAGGAUUAUUUUUUUAUCAAAUUGGUGGAUUAUUCAUUAAAUUGGAUUAUUAUCAAAUUGGAUUAUUAUUCAUCACCAUGUUUUAUUUUAGGAUUAUUUUUUUUAUCAAAUUGGUGGAUUAUUCAUUAUAUUGGAUUAUUAUCAAAUUGGAUUAUUAUUCAUCACCAUGUUUUAUAUUAGGAUUAUUUUUUUUAUCAAAUUGGUGGAUUAUUCAUUAAAUUGGAUUAUUAUCAAAUUGGAUUAUUUAUUAAUCAAAUUGGAUUAUUAUUCAUCACCAUGUUUUAUAUUAGGAUUAUUUUUUUUAUCAAAUUGGUGGAUUAUUCAUUAAAAUUGGAUUAUUAUCAAAUUGGAUUAUUAUUCAUCACCAUGUUUUAUUUUAGGAUUAUUUUUUUUUUAUCAAAUUGGUGGAUUAUUUCAUUAUAUUGGAUUAUUAUCAAAUUGGAUUAUUAUUAUCAAAUUGGAUUAUUAUUAUCAUCACCAUGUUUUAUAUUAGGAUUAUUUUUUUAUCAAAUUGGUGGAUUAUUCAUUAAAUUGGAUUAUUAUCAAAUUGGAUUAUUAUUAUCAUCACCAUGUUUUAUAUUAGGAUUAUUUUUUUAUCAAAUUGGUGGAUUAUUCAUUAAAUUGGAUUAUUAUCAAAUUGGAUUAUUAUUCAUUAAAUUGGAUUAUUAUUCAUCACCAUGUUUUAUAUUAGGAUUUUUUUUUUAUCAAAUUGGAUUAUUAUUCAUUAAAUUGAAUUAUUAUCAAAUUGGAUUAUUAUUCAUUAAUAUUAGGUUUUAUUAUUCCAUAUUAUUUGUAUAAUUACUUAAAUUUUUACAAUCAUUUUCUUUACUUUGUAUUUAAUUCUUCUGUAGAAUAACUUUAUUAUUUAGGUUCUCUUAUUUUUAUCAAAAAAUAAUUGUCUAAUUUUCAUGAAAAAUAAAUAUAGGUACGUUUAAGAUGUCCAGUAAACGUGAUCCAGCUUGGGAACAUGGAGACCCAAUAGACGGAAACAAACAUGGCACAAUUUGCAAAUAUUGUGGUCGGGUAAUGAAGAGUGGCGGAGUGACACGACUGAAGUAUCAUCUUAGUGGAUUAGAUCCAUCAAAAUAUGUCCAACGAUGCGAUAAUGUCCCCCCAGAAGUGAAGGCAUUCAUCAGCACAUUAUUAAAAAAUAAAAAACAGCAGAAGUAAAAGAUAACACAGGGAAUGGAAAAUAUUCAAGCUGGGCUACGGGGAGAAGUCUAUGGCCAAGCGGUUGACAGUGAUGAUGAUGACGAUGAGGACGAAUGUGAUGAUGACAUGGGACCUGAAGAACGACGCAGUUGAAACAAGCAUUACGUGCCUUCAAACAGUCAGCAUGGGAAAGAGAACACCUUCAUAAAAUUCCUAAUAGGGGACAAGGUUCCAGGACAAGUGGUGGUGCACAAAUGAGACGGGGAGGCAGUCUUAGAGAAUCACAACCAACACCACCAAUAGCCCCAAGUUUAUAUAAGUCAUCCAACGCACGUCAAAAGAGUGUUUGGAGUUAUUUCAAGGGAGGUAAUGUGAAGGAGGGAAUGAGGCGUCUAAUUAGCAAGUUCUUUAUCUAUGAAAAUGUCCCUGCUGCGAAGGCAUCAUCACAUCAUUUCAAAAAUAUGGUAGUGGGAUGUCAACAGGCCGGUGUUGGAGUACAACCUCCCACUCCCUAUGAGAUAAGAAACAAAUAUUUGGAUAUGGAGUAUAAAGACAUUGGCGAGUAUGUUAACAAGUUGAGGUCAAAGUGGGAAACUAAUGGUUGCACAAUCAUGUGUGUGACAGAUGGACCGGCCCGACCAGAUUAUCUAUCAUCAACUUCAUGGUAUACUCCAAGGGAAAGACAAUUUUUUUGAAGUCUGUUGAUGCUUCAGACCAUAUAAAGAAUUACAAGUAUAUUUACAAAUUAUUGAGGGAUGUAAUCAUGGAGGUGGGAGAGCAUAAUGUUGUCCAAGUCGUGACCGACAACGGUUCUGCAUUUGUCAAAGCUGGAAAAAAGUUAAUGAAGCAUCAUAAUGUGUUUUGGACAUCAUGUGCAGCACAUUGUAUUGAUCUUAUGUUUGAGGCAAUGGGGAAGAGAGAGAAUGUUGCUACUGUGGUCAAAAGAGCUAGAACGAUCACAAAUUAUAUUUACAAUCACGGUUGGUUGUUGGCAAAGAUGAGUGAAUUUUGCAGAGGAGAAAUUAUUCGUCCAGCUACCACUCGAUUCGCCACCAACUAUAUUGCAUUAAACAGCCUACUCAAGAAGAAAGCAGGGUUGAAGCAACUAUUCACUAGUGACGAUUGGGCCAACCACAAUUUCAGCCGCUCAAAUACAGGUCGUAUGGUGGAAAGUAUAGUGCUUGAUCAUGCUUUUUGGAGUCAAACAGAACAUGUGUGUCAAGUGUUUGAACCUCUUUACAAAGUUUUACGGAUCGUUGACACAGAAGUGUAUCCUACUAUGGGGGCAGUAUAUGAGUUGAUGCGUGUAGUGAAGGAUGAAUUGGAAAGAAAACAUGGUGCAAGGUGGGUCGUAAAAAUAAUUGAAGACCGAUGGUAUAAAAACAUUAUACCACGAUUUGCAUGCAGCAGCAGGUAUAAAUUAUGUCAUAAUUUGCAAUUCAUUUCUUUAGUUGCAUAAGUAUUAUUUAUCUUAUUAGAGUAUGUGUUUCUUUGAACAGCAUAUUAUUUGAAUCCCCGAUACCAAUACAGACCCGGUGUUGGAGAUGAUGGUAACCUUAUACGUGCUGUACAUAAUGUAUACUCUAAAUUAGACCAUGCAUUACCAGCAGUUGGCCAAUUUGGAAAUGAGGUACACAAUUACUUAAAUUAUAAUAAUUACUUUGUUGGAUUAAACUAACACAAUUUAUUGUAUUCAGCUAACAUUGUUUAAAGAUGCAAGAAGAAUAUUUGGAGAACCAACAUCAGUUGCUGCUCGAACAAAUAUGUCUCCUAGUGAGUAUAAACAUAUUUCACUAUAAGUUUAUAAUAGAAUUUGUUGGAGUUAUUAGGCUUAUCAACAUUAUUUUUCAUUGUAGCUGAAUGGUGGAUCAUGUAUGGGACCGAUGCACCAACUGUGAGAAAGUUAGCAAUAAAAGUAUUAUCACAAACAGCUUCCUCAUCUGCUUGUGAAAGAAAUUGGAGCACAUUUGCACUCAUACACACAAAGCAAAGAAAUAAGUUGGCUCAUAGUAGCUUGGAAAAAUUAGUUUAUUGCUACUACAACAUGAAGCUUCAAAUUCGAGAUAAGGAAGCAGAAAUCGAUCAUGUCGACCGUGGUGACCCACUAGAUGUGUUUGAUAUUGUUGGUGAAGAUGAUGAUACGGAGGGUAACCAACUUUUUCAAUGGAUUAGACCUCUUCAUUUAGAUGAUGAUGAAGGCAACCCAGCUCCCAGAGUUGCUGAAGAAGCACGUAAUGAAGGGAUAAAUGUAGAAAGAGUAUUAGAGGAGGAGGUGGGAUCUAGCAGCGCUGACUCUUUCGAAGAACUUUUGCACCCAAGACCAAGCAACACUGGAAUUCCACCUUUUUCCAAUCCUACACAACCACAACAUCGUGCUGAUACUAAUGAUAGCUCUAGUACAAGAUCAGGAAACUCACCUACCACCGGAGGUGGGAAUGAUGAAGGACAUAGUGGAGCUGGAGGUAGUGGUGGUGGAUAUGGAAACUAUUAUGGACCACCACCUCCCGGAUAUAUGAGCCCCUUCACUGGUGAGGCAAACUUCACGCAUGCAACACAGGAUGAUGACCAUGGCAGUAGGCGGGCAGGACCAGGAAUUGGUGCCAUAGGGAAGGACUAUACUCGCAGAGAAAGAGGCAAAGGGAUUUUGUCAAGUCAAGAAGAUGACUCGUUAUCUAGAACUUCAGACUCUGUUGGAUUGGGAAGUAGUAACUAUGGUUAUACUCAUAACCAACCAUUUCCCUACCCUUCAUAUCUCAUUCCUGUUGGGAUGAAAUCGAGCGACUCAUGGAAACAAUCCCAGCCUCAAUCUUCAAAUGAUUUUUCUUAUGGACAACCUCAACCAAUCUCGGAUCCAUAUGGGUGGCAUAUUAACAAUUACAUGCAAAACUAUUUUGGGGAUUUAUCAUUUGAUAACUACUCUUCACAAUACACUCAUUCUACACAUAGAGAUGAUGAAGAUAGUGACAAAUUUGAACCUCAUAGGAACUCUAUGUGGUACUAAAGUGUAAAAUAUUGUACUAAUUCAUUAUAUAUAAAUGAUUAUGGUGUGUUUAGACUUCUUUCAUUAAUUACUACAUAUUUUCUACACUCAUAAUGUUUGUCAGAUCGCUAUAUAAUCAACUUGAUAAUGUUAAAUCCAUCAUGCAAUGCAUUUCCUUCCAAUUUUUUGUGAUAAACUAAUAGAUAAUUGACUAAAUAAACAUCCUACAAAGUUUCAAUAAAAAUUUCCAAGUUUUUCUUACAAUUUCCGUAGUUUCCAUGUAAUUUUUAUCGAUAUCGAUAUUUUACCGAUAUUUCCAUCGAUAUUUCCGUGUUUUCGGACUACCGAUAUUUCCGAUAUCACCGAUAUUUUCUUCCUUGAUCAUCACUACCAAUCUCAUCUCGAUAUUAUACUGAUAUCAAAUCAACUGGGUUUUAAUGUGUACACUAACAACCAAUGGGUUGAUUUAUCACCUUUAUUCCCAACACAAUGAAAAUUUUCUUGUGUCCGUGAUGGCUUUAUAUUAGUCGUGACUUCUUUUUUAGCUUGAUAACCAUGUCCAAGUUGAGAACAUUGUCCAAAGUUUACAAGGCGUUACUAAAUUUUACCCUUUAAUUUUUGGCUUAUUAGUCGAAAUGCCCCAUGAAGCUGUCAUUGAGUCUCAUUUUACCCCCAUGAAACUAGUUUUAUCUCACUUUGCUCCUUGAAACUGACAUUUUCAACUCUUAUCUUACUUUACCCACUUCCGUCAAUGGAUUGUUACAUUUAAGGGUAUUUUAAACAUUUCAGUUUUUGCACAUUUAUUUACCUCUAACCCACACUAAACAAGUCUCAACUUUAUUUUUGACAACUCUGAUUCAAAUGCAUAAAUUUUGGACAUUUUAAAAAUAAAUUAUUCAAUCAAUAAAAAAAAUUCAAGCAACAAAAUCAUUGUAUCAACCAAAAUAAAUGUUACAUUUGUUCGUGGAGUCAUUUCACUUGCAAGACAUUCAUGUAUUGGCUCGAAACUUUGCAAUUGAAAAACAUUCAUUACAAUAAAAUCAUUAUACCAUUACGCUAUCCUAUCCAAAUUAAAUACUUCCCAAACCAAAAAAAACAUUUAAAGCAAAUGUGCACAAUUUGAACAAGCUCAUGCCUAGUGAAAUCAGUGCUCAAGAAUGUGAAAUUUUUUGUUUCAAACUGCACAUUUGCUUUAAAUGAUUUUUUUUUUUGUUCGGGAAGUAUUUUGGGCAGGAUAGCUUCAUGGUAUAAUGAUUUUGUUGUAAUGAAUGUUUUCAAUUGCAAAGUUUCGAACCAAUACAUGGAUGUCUUGCAAGUGAAAAGACUCUACGAACAAAUGUAAACCUUACUUUGGUUGAUACAAUGAUUUUGUUGCUUGAAAUUUUUCUAUUGAUUGAAUAAUUUAUUUUCAAAAAUACCCAAAAUUGAUGCAUUUGAAUUAGAUUUGUUAAAAAUAAAAUUGAGACUUGUCUUGUGAAAUCUCAUCCUGGAAUUUCACCAUUUAUUACGUAUCUCGUAUUUUAAAUUCAUAUUUUGCGAUUACGUUAUCUUUAUUAGUUAAUUUUAAUUCUGCUAAUUAUAAGUUUAGUAAUUGAUUAGUUAUCAAGUUGAAAGUUUCAUAAUCAAUCUUUAUCUUUCGUUGACAUUUCGAAGUUACAACUAGUGUUUUUAAAUAGAUCUUGAACCCAUGAACGCAUAGGCGAAAGCCGUUUGCGAGUCCGAAUUAUAACGGUAUAAUUACUGACGUUUGAAAUUGUGAACUAUAGAUUGUGGGAAUUGACACGCCCUGAUCCCGAUGUCCUCGGGACAUUGGGAUGGUCACGUGCUAGCCGACACCCAAAGGGUGACGAAAGCCAUUUGAUUUAAGCAAAAGCUGAGAAAUAUACUAAAACAGGCAAUCGGGACUAAUAACACCAAAGUAAAGUUCAACUACUAAAAUAAUAAAAUUAUGGUCAUACACAUAAGUUCAGAGCAUACGUCUAUUACAGAGUACAAACAGAAUUUAAGAUAGAGAAGUGCUAUAUUACAAUAGGUGUCGAAGCAAAAAAGAUAUAACACUAAACCACUGGUAGGGAAAUGCCUCGUAGCUCAGAUCAUAAUCCUCGUUCAUAGGUCCUGAAGGAGGCGCAAAACAAACUGAGUGGACCAAUUUGAUAUAAAUAUAAUAAAACAGUUAUCAACAUACUAACCUCAGGUUUAUGAAAACACAUAAAUAAUGAAAAACAUAGGUUUUCCGAAACCUAGAAUGCCGUGCAAUGUCUCAAAUUCAUAACUUGUAUAUAUAAUAAACACUAGUGAUUUGUCCGAUAACCCCAAGCCCCAUGCCGACUCCUCGUCUCUGAGCAGACAGUCAGAGGAAAAUACACUUCAGGCCUCAUGCUGGCUCCUCAUCCAUGUGCUAAAUAGCCAGAGGAAAUACACUCCAGGCCCUAUGCCAACACCAAACCGUCGCCCGGGACGGGCCCGAAACUAUCCCUACAUCCCGUAGCGGAAAUGACCACUAGGUAAGUACAAAACCACUGAACAUAUAAAUAUUGAAAAACAACUUCAUAGUAUAAAGUCAUCUAUCAUCUAUACUAUAAAGAGGUGUUCUAAACAUAUUCUAAAUAUCAUAUCAUCAUCCAUCAGAUAUUCUAUAAAAACAUGGGUUAUAUGAAAAAUAGUUGUAAUUCAAUCUAACCUUCGUAAGCAUGUUAUCUCACAAAACAUUUUAUAAAACAUAAUCAUUAAGUCAUGCUUUUCAUGUAUGAAUUUCUACUAUUAAAACAUGUUUUUGAAGGGGUCCACUCACCAUACACCAAUAGUGCAAAGCUGUACCAAAAAGGAAUAACGGAAUCACCGUUAAUAAUUGCACAUAUUCACAUAAAGGAGUACCUUUAGUCAAACUAUAUUCAAACGAUUGAAUUUAAAAAAACGGACUUCAAAAUGGGUCCAGGAUGUCAAAAUUAGGCUAGAAUAGGUCCUAGACGAAACUCUGAAAAGUUAACUCAAAAAUUCAACAUUGACCAUUGACCGAUCAAAGUCAAAGUCAGCACUGAGUCAAAUGGGUCAAAGGUCAGACUGGGCUUGGAUUUGGAUUUAGGGCUUUAGGGUUGGGCCGAUUGGGCCCUAAGGGUUUGGGUUUAGAUUUAAGGUUAAUGGGUUUGGAAAAAGGGCUGAAAGCCCAGGCUUUAAUUGGCCCAAAGGCCUUGAAUAUAGGGGUCUUAAACACACGGGCCUAAAGACCUAAUUAAAAUGGCCCAAGAGCCUUAAUUCUUAAAACUAUAAAUAAAUAAAACCUAAAAAAAGUUUUGGGUUGGUCUAAUGGGCUACAGGCCCUAAACAAAACGGCCCGAUAACCUUUUUGGGUUAUUAAAACAAUUUAAAUAAAAUUAAAAAGGAAAUGGGUUAGGGUUUUGGGCUGAGCUCACCACGGGCCUAAGGCUCGAGUGCCUUAGAAUCGGCCUGAAAGGCCUGGGUGUACCAGAGAAGAACGUCGGAGCUUCUACAGCUCCGGCCGACUGCAAACUACAACCCUAGCCUCCGAUCUAGGUACCAAAACGAAGCACAAGAUGAGACGAACAACUUUAUACCUUCCUUUUUGUCGUAGAAUGGCCGAAGAUGCACCGAAAUUCCCUCGACACCCACUAGUUCGCCGAAGAUGGGUGUGCCUUCACCCGAGUCGAUCUCGUCCUAAGACCUUGAUAAAAACAAAAUAAAACUCAUUAAAUUCCUUCCAAGCUUCACACGGAACGAAAAGGAAGUCAAAUCCGAACUUACCUCACCGGAAAAACAAAGGAAACUCGCCGGAGAGUUCAUGGGUUUCGUCCUCGCAGCACAGGAAAAAGAGAGAAUGAAGGACGAAGGAAUGAUGAUGGUGGUCUUCCUCGCAGGUGAUGCAGUUGGGGGGGGUAUGUGUGUGUGUGUGUGUCUCGGUGAAGAGAGAGAGAGAGAGAUGAGGGUAUUAAGAGGGAAAUGAAGGAAAGACAGAAAGAAGAAGAGGGUGAAGUCACGGGGGGGGGACAGAGAGAGAAAUGUGAGGAUGUUUGGGGUACUGCCACGUGGCAGCUUGAGGAUAAACUUGAUUGGGUAGUAACUUUAGGACUAAAUUGAUAAAUUCAUAAUAUUUUGGGGAUAAUUACAUAAUUAUAUUUUUAUAAAUGUGGGUGGGUGUAAUAGGAAUUGUUUAAUUUCCACAUGUGGGCUAAAGGUUAAGUUAGUCUAAUAAAAAGGGGGACCAAUCAGAUUUUUUUAAGGGUAGAAAUGACCAAUUAAAGGGAGAGAAGCUGAAAUUCUCCCUCCCCCAUUUGUGAACCCGUGUGCUCCACCAGCCCACUUUCAAACUGGCCAAUUUCAGAUCAAUUCCUCCAUUUCUCAGCUGAUUUUCCUAUCUCCUUCACCUGCAACUUGCUCAACUAUCUUCUUCCUUCCAUCUCCACCAAAAAUAAAGGAUUUUCAAGGUCUAAUUUGGGUAUAACUCCACCGGAUAACCCAGGGGUUUUCGAUGGCGAUUCGUCGUUCUGGUGAGUAUCACCAUUCAUCAUCACCCUUAAUCAACUUCCCUUGGACCCAGGAACAAGACCAAAUUGGUGGUUGGAGCGUAGGAACACCAAGGAAGCCAAAUUGAAGAACACCCACCUUAGAGUUUCGAAGGGUGCGAGCCAAUUUGAGGGCCUUCUCGACCAAAUUGGACUCUUCCAUAGGUAUAAAGUUUACUCUACUUGUUGAGAUCUUCAUCCUUGUAAAAAUUGAGAAUUUUUUGGAAAAGUCGAAUUUUUCGAUAUGUGACAUUUGAUUUAUGAAAUGAUGUUGGUUGAGUAUAUUUUCGAUAAGGUCCGCCACUUGAAUAUUCUAACAAUUGACGAUCUUACCAUUGAAUUGACACCAAAUUUUAGUAUGCUAUUGAAGAUAUUGUUAAGGACCUUAGGGACUUACUAGUGAAAAUCUAAUGGUUGGAUAUUACGGAGCAAGUGAUGUAAGAUCAUGGACCAUACCUUUGAUCGACGGUUUGAUUUUCAUUAAACGUCGUUGUGGGAGAGUUAUGAGAGUUUUGGGUAUGUGAAUUUAUCGAGAGAAACCUAAAUGUGGACUUGUGCUUUGUUUUAGGCGGUGAUAGAGCUUGAUGCCUUGAAUUUCAUGCUAGAGUGCGUUAAUGUAGACCUCAGGUGAGUGAUUUUAAUCUAUGUGAUAUAGUUAUUGCUUUGAAAUCUUCGGUGCUAAUAUACUUUGUGGUUACACCAUGGAUUCUUAAAAUAGGUCUUAUGCUAAAUAAUUGUUGUUAUAAAGUUGCCAUCACUCUACUUAUGAAACAUUAUGUGACUUGGAUAUUUGAACUGUUGAUGGUUUGUGUUUUGAAAUAUAUAUUUGAUGGUUUGAUAAACAUGAGGGAUUGUAAGGGACCGUUACCCUAGUGUCAUGGGGUUAGGUGACACUAAGUCUGCACCACGUAGCAAUGGUACAUGGAUGGUCCUGCUUGGUUAAUCCGCGUUAAGGGACCAUACUAAUUGUGGAUCACGCUUGGUUAAUCUACGUUGGACGAUCCUUAUAUCCUAGGUAUGGCCAUACACAUUUAGGGGUGAUCAUGCUUGGUUAAUCCGCAUUGGGUGAUCAUUUCCUAAUAGUUGUAGGAGUGGCUUUGCUUGGUUAAUCCGCAUUGAGGGAUCAUUACCUACUUGGUUACGUUCUCAAUGGUGGCUCUGCUUGGUUAAUCCGCUUUGGGGGGCCACUUCCUAUUUGGUUACUUGGGUAGGCUUCGACUGAGCGACAUCUCUCUAGCUCUAGUUUUGAGUGUAUCCGUGAAUUUUGGUUUCGAGAACUUUGAGUUUUGAUUUAGAAUAGCCGUUGGAUGUCUGUGUGACUCAUUUGGAGUUUGCAAGGUUUGGUAUUGAUUUCUUAUGAAUGAUUUAUGUUCAAGAUUUAUAAAUUAUGACUGAUGGCUGGUUUUAUUAUUAGUAUCAUAUACUUUGCAUUAUUGCCGCUCACACAAGUUUUGUAGCUUAUCUGGGUUGUUUACCCAGUGCACCAUUCCAAUGGUGUAGGCACUGAUCUUUCAGGUAACAAGUCUGAGUAGCUUCGAGGAGUUCGUAGGUGGGGUAGCAGUUCAGUUAUCAGAGAUUUGGAGUGUUAGGUUACCCCUACAUCAUAUCUUGUACUUUAUCUUUUAGGACUUACUUUUGAGCACGUCGAACUUGUUCUUAGUAAAGCAAAGAUUAUGCUUCUUUUUAGGAUGUACAUAUUUGUAAAUGUCUUGUGAAGAACUUAACCACCUUCUUUUUAGUUUGGGUUGUAGCUAAAGUAUUUCAUUCCGUAUGGUAUGUCAUAUUCAACGAACGUUAUUUUUCCUUUGCCACGUGUUGAUUUUCGACGUAUGUUGGGAUCGGAGCGUGACAUGUCUAGUGGAAGGGCUAGAGGUAAAUAAAUGUGUAAAAUUGAAAUGUCUAAAAUACCCUUAAAUUUAACAGUCCAUUAACGAAAGUGUGUAAAGUAAGACAAAAGAGUUGAAAAUGUUAGUUUCAAUGGGCAAAGUGAGACAAAACCAGUUUCAAGGGGUAAACUGAGACUCAAUGGCAAUUUUAGAAAACAUUUCGACUACUAAGCCUUAAUUUUUUUAUUUAUUUUUCCCUAAAAAAAUUAAAAAGAAAAUAGUUUUUACAUGGGCCACACCAUUGGUCAAAAAAUCCAAUCCAAAACAAGCUCUUAGCCCAAGCCAUUCAUACAAUUCAAUCCAACGCCAUAGCUUUUCCGCCAUGGCUGCAGACCUCUCUGCUCAAACCUUCCUCCUAUCCACAACCACCACCACCCCCCAACGCUCCCACCCCAGAACUACCACCUCCUUCUUGCCUUCCUCCUCUCUCUACUCUCACUCCAAAACCCUCCUCCACCUCUCCAAAACCUCCCGCCCUCGCCGCCACAGCCUCCACCAAGUGAUCUGCCAGUCCACCGGCACCCAACCCAUUUCCCAGCUCGGCCAUGAUCGCCUCUCCAAGGUCCCCAUUUCCCACAUCAGGAACUUCUGUAUCAUCGCCCACAU